AUUGAACGCUGGCGGCAUGCCUUACACAUGCAAGUCGAACGGCAGCGGGGGAGAAGCUUGCUUUUCCUGCCGGCGAGUGGCGAACGGGUGAGUAAUACAUCGGAACGUGCCCUGUAGUGGGGGAUAACUAGUCGAAAGAUUAGCUAAUACCGCAUACGACCUGAGGGUGAAAGUGGGGGACCGCAAGGCCUCAUGCUAUAGGAGCGGCCGAUGUCUGAUUAGCUAGUUGGUGGGGUAAAGGCCUACCAAGGCGACGAUCAGUAGCUGGUCUGAGAGGACGAUCGGCCACACUGGGAGUGAGACACGGCCCAGACCCCUACGGGAGGCAGCAGUGGGGAAUUUUGGAAAAUGGGGGAAAGCCUGGUCCAGCACUGCCGCGGGUGUGAAGAAGGCCUUGGGGUUGUAAAGCACUUUUGUCCGGAAAGAAAUGGCUCUGGUUAAUACCUGGGGUCGAUGACGGUACCGGAAGAAUAAGGACCGGCUAACUGCGUGCCAGCCGCCGCCGUAA
rnacentral:rRNA from 1 species